GAUGAACGCUGGCGGCGUGCCUAAUACAUGCAGGUCGAGCGAACGGACGAGAAGCUUGCUUCUCUGAUGUUAGCGGCGGACGGGUGAGUAACACGUGGAUAACCUACCUAUAAGACUGGGAUAACUUCGGGAAACCGGAGCUAAUACCGGAUAAUAUCUUGAACCGCAUGGUUCAAAAGUGAAAGACGGUCUUGCUGUCACUUAUAGAUGGAUCCGCGCUGCAUUAGCUAGUUGGUAAGGUAACGGCUUACCAAGGCAACGAUGCAUAGCCGACCUGAGAGGGUGAUCGGCCACACUGGAACUGAGACACGGUCCAGACUCCUACGGGAGGCAGCAGUAGGGAAUCUUCCGCAAUGGGCGAAAGCCUGACGGAGCAACGCCGCGUGAGUGAUGAAGGUCUUCGGAUCGUAAAACUCUGUUAUUAGGGAAGAACAUAUGUGUAAGUAACUGUGCACAUCUUGACGGUACCUAAUCAGAAAGCCACGGCUAACUACGUG
rnacentral:rRNA from 1 species